rnacentral:tRNA from 1 species
GGCGCUGUGGCUUAAUUGGUUAAAGCACCGGACUGUCACUCCGGAGAUUGCGGGUUCAAGUCCCGUCAGCGUCG